rnacentral:rRNA from 3 species
GUCUAUAACGACUCUCGGCAACGGAUAUCUCGGCUCUCGCAUCGAUGAAGAACGUAGCGAAAUGCGAUACUUGGUGUGAAUUGCAGAAUCCCGUGAACCAUCGAGUCUUUGAACGCAAGUUGCGCCCCAAGCCUUCUGGCCGAGGGCACGUCUGCCUGGGUGUCACAAA